rnacentral:tRNA from 1 species
AGUGGAGUGCCCGACAAAAGGAUGACUAUGAUAGAGUCAAAUAUACAGGGCGGCCCUGUCUCUACUA